UCUUGGGCCAAAGCAGUUGGGAAUUAAGACUGCUUACAUACCUGUUAAAAUAUUGCAUGAAAUUAAAUAUUUGUGUGGAUCUCACUUUGAAAAAAAGUAUUUUAAUACAAAGGGCAAUAGAUCAAUUAAAAAUGCUAUUCCAACAUUAAAUUUGCCACAACCAUUGGAUGACAGACAGUCUUUUGGUAGAUUUUCCUUUAUAUGGUGAAGAAAAAGGAAAAUCUCAAGUCUUGAAAGUUUUUCAAGAUAUAACAAAUUCAGAGAACUUGCAAUGGAAUGAAAAUAUUUUAUCUAAAAAUGCUGAAUACAGCUUUGUCCCUUUACCCUCUACUUCGCAGGUUCCUCAAGGACUUACUUUUGAAAAAACACUAG